GACGAACGCUGGCGGCGUGCUUAACACAUGCAAGUCGAACGAUGAAGCUGGAGCUUGCUCCGGUGGAUUAGUGGCGAACGGGUGAGUAACACGUGAGUAAUCUGCCCUUGACUCUGGGAUAACUGCGGGAAACUGUAGCUAAUACCGGAUACGACACCUUCGGGCAUCCGAUGGGUGUGGAAAGAAUUUCGGUCUAGGAUGAACUCGCGGCCUAUCAGCUAGUUGGUGAGGUAAUGGCUCACCAAGGCGACAACGGGUAGCCGGCCUGAGAGGGUGACCGGCCACACUGGGACUGAGACACGGCCCAGACUCCUACGGGAGGCAGCAGUGGGGAAUAUUGCACAAUGGGCGAAAGCCUGAUGCAGCAACGCCGCGUGAGGGAUGAAGGCCUUCGGGUUGUAAACCUCUUUUAGUUGGGAAGAAGCGAAAGUGACGGUACCAACAGAAAAAGCACCGGCUAACUACGUGCCAGCAGCCGCCGUAA
rnacentral:rRNA from 1 species